UUCAUCUCAUGUUGUGCACAUGAGAAAUUUGUAACCUGUGCUGAGCUUUCAAGCCUCCCAUUGUUGAAGAAAAUAAUUUGCUUGUGGGCCACCUGUAGACCGAGCCUAGCUAUCAGGAAGAAUGAAAUGUAUUGAUAUGGUACCCGUAGUGUUUCCAGAGAGAGUUGCAGCUGAAUGAGUCGCAAGCCACGACGGACCACGCUAGCUUGUCACGAAGGAACCGCGGACUUCAAACUUCAGAUCACUAUAUCCCUCGCUGUUUACCCAUACAAUAUCUCGGCGUUCGGGAGGAAAUCUUCGUCAAGAUGACACAAGACCGACAAGCCGCUUGCAUCACGGGCCAAACACAGCUCUCUGGGAGUGACCGGCGUGCUUUUCUACCAUACCGGUACGUCAGGCAUCGUCAGGCUAACUGAUUGUGAGUCAGACAAGCCGCUUGCAGCACGGGCCAAACACAGCUCGCUGGGAGUGACCGGCGUGCCUUUCUGCCAUAUGUCAGCCAUCGCCAGGCUAACUGAUUGACAAGCCGUUUGCAGCACGGGCCAAACACAGGUCGCUGGGUGUGACCGCGCUUUUCUGCCAUACGUUAGCCAUCGCCAGGCGAACUGAUUUAG